GCCCCAGUAGCUCAGCCGGUAGAGCGUGCCGCUGUUAACGGCAAGGUCGGCAGUUCGAGUCUGCCCUGGGGCG
rnacentral:tRNA from 1 species